rnacentral:rRNA from 1 species
GACGAACGCUGGCGGCGUGCUUAACACAUGCAAGUCGAACGGAAAGGCCCUGCUUUUGUGGGGUGCUCGAGUGGCGAACGGGUGAGUAACACGUGAGUAACCUGCCCUUGACUUUGGGAUAACUUCAGGAAACUGGGGCUAAUACCGGAUAGGAGCUCCUGCUGCAUGGUGGGGGUUGGAAAGUUUCGGCGGUUGGGGAUGGACUCGCGGCUUAUCAGCUUGUUGGUGGGGUAGUGGCUUACCAAGGCUUUGGCGGGUAGCCGGACUGAGAGGGUGACCGGCCACAUUGGGACUGAGACACGGCCAAGACUCCUACGGGAGGGAGCAGUGGGGAAUAUUGCACAAUGGGCGGAAGCGUGACGCAGCAACGCCGCGUGCGGGAUGAUGGCCUUCGGGUUGUAAACCGCUUUCGCCUGUGAUGAAGCGUGAGUGACGGUAAUGGGUAAAGAAGCACCGGCUAACUACGUG